GAUUUUUUUGGGGUUAAUUAUUUAAUAUAGAUAUUAUGUGACUUUUUGAUUGAUGGUUUUGAUUAACACAUGUAAGUAGCACAAAUACUUCACUGAAAUAGGGAUGUCUACGUUGAAAAAAAAGCUGUGAAAAUUUCAUCUGUCUUGUAUGGUUCAAGACUAUGUUUAAUUUUUAUGAAAUUUGUUGACUUGCAAUUUGCAAAUUUAGAAAAUAAAAGAAAUUUUCAGAACAAUAAAUUAUACAGACCUUCAGAAAUACCAAAUUUAAGCUCCAUAAAGUCUAUAUUUAGGAGAGAAAUGAGGAUCUGAAAUAGGUAUUUUUAUGGCACUCUGUAUGUAAACAACUUUUUUUUGCAUCUGUUGCAGCAUAUAUUUAUAUUAUAGGGUAGGAUAGGGAUAUGUAGUGCUAAUACAUAUAGAUGUGCAAUAUAGCAAUUAUGUUUUUGGUUGCAUUAGAUCAUUGUGAUGUCACUGCAAAGCAUAAACAUUUUUAUUUUUAUCUCAUAAAAAUUCUGCUUGAAAAACAGUCCAAACAUUUUAAAUUUAUAUAUUUAAAUUUGACUUAAACCAGGGUUUUCACCAACUUUAAGCAAAAAGUCCUUCUUAUUGUGUAGAAUUGUAUGUAUUCCAAAAACACAGAAUCUCCUAUAGACUUAAGAGUCACCUAAAUGUCCACAAAUGAAGUUUUGCUUCCAAGUGGCAUAUAUUUCAGAUUCAACUUGUUUUGUGAAUGUGAUAACUUGUUUUGUGAUACAAUGUAUUGACAGUGAUAGUAGAAUAGAAAUUUGAAAGGUCUACAGCAGAUUAAUUACUAUUGAUAUUGAGUAAUAUAUGUUUUCAUAAAAUAUUUUUGUUCUUUGUUUUGUUUAAGGAAAAACUUUUAACAAAAGAUGUGUUAAUUAUCAAGUUCUUAUCCAUUGUUGACUACCAGAUGACGACAUCUGUAUGUUUGCUUUUGGUGAACUUAUUUUCUCAUUUGAAUGGUUUUAUUUACACUAGUAAUUUUUUUGGGGCCCUUUAUUGCUUACUGUUCAGUGUGAGCCAAUGUUUCAUGUUGAAUACUGUACUUUGACCUAAAAUGGUUUACUUUUAUAAACAGUGACUUGGAUGGAGAGUUGUGUCAAUGGCACUCAUACCACAUCUUCUUAUAUCUAUUGAAUCUUCUUCUUUAUGUUUCAUUGAGUCCACAUCUGUUUUAUAUUUACUGGGUGCCAAAAUAAGUUAUGUGUCUUAUACAUUUGUUUUUCAAAUUGGAAAAAGAUCUCUCACAGCCUGUGUUAUUUUUUUCCCCCACAUUUUACAUUACAUACUACCAUCGUUGUUUAUGUUAAACAACAGUUUAGCUUCAUCUUAGAAAAUAGGAAAAGAUAUUGAUUACAUGUGCAUUAAGCUGUUAAACGUAUUUGAAAUUACAGUUGUGUUCAAUUUUGUCUGUCUAAUAUAUUUAAAUUAGUUUAAUUUUUGCAAGGGUAAUAGGUCACGAUGAUACACGUUAUCAGGAUUGAAAUACAUGGACCUUUUUUUUUACCUUAGAGGUCCCUCUUUUACUAAAAAAAGGAUAAGUAUUCAUUUAUUGUUGGGGCUAGUUUUAAGGGAUAGCUCUUGGUUUAUUGGGACCCCUAAAGUAAUAGAAAGCCCAUGUAUUGCAAAUCUGAUUUUGUUUAUCUAUGCUUUAUCACUAUUCUUACCAACGAUCUAUCCAUACUUAUGGAUAUUUUUAUAUUUAGUUACAAAUUUUGUUGAACACACAUCGUUUGCACAUAGUGAAUUUUAGGUCCUGUUGUUGUAUAGUGUAGUUUAUAAGAUAAAUUAAUAUAAGGUCAAUAAUUAUACAUUAAUGUUUUAUAAGUGCAAUUUUUUUCUUUGAAUUGAAGGUCUUCCAUUAAAAUGCUGAACACAUUUGUGUCUUAUGUUGAUUAUUUUGGAAACAAAAUUAGGGAUUUACCUUUAGUAUGUAAAUGAAAUAAUCCUAAAUUAGACCAGGCUGACUUUUCACACAGUUUCAUAGGACUAAUGACAAGAUGGAGACCUUAACAAAUGAAAUGAACGAUUUCAUCAUAUUCAAUACUCAAAAAUCAUUACCAUGACAUCGAUUAAUAUGAUAUUUGGAUAGUAAUAUUUUGAAAAUUUGAGUUCUACUGUUAUUUUUUAAAUCUUGCAGGGGUUUAUAACAUAAAUAGCUAAAUAACUACUUUAUGUAUAAAUUUUGUAUUGUGUUAACAUUUAGAUAGUGAUUUAUACCUCCCUGCUAUUGUUGAAAUUACUGGGUUCAAUUAUUCUAAAAAUAUUAAAAGAUGAACGAGUAUAGAGACAACAACAGCUAUAUUAGCUGAAGGUUGAAAGUUUAAUUUGGGUUCACAUGGUUAAACUAUCAAUAAGCAGCUAAUAUCAGGGAUGUUGUCUCUAGGUUAUUCCUUAGAAAUAAGAUUUAUUUCAUCAUUAUAGUGUAUUGACUAUCACUAAAAUUGAAGCAAAUUACAUGGUUAAGAAUAUACUCCAACUCUCUGUUUUCGUACAUUAAAAAAUGUACAUAUAGUAACAUGAAACUGUACAAUUUUAAAGAUACCAUUGGAACAAACAACACAUUGUUUUGAUUAUAUAUGUUGCAUUUUAUGCUAAAUACAUGUUAAGAAGUAUAUAUAUAACACAGGCUUAAUUGUUGGUUUUAAUCGUCUAAGUAUAAUUUAUAUUCAUCUACAUUGUAUAUAUACAAUAUAUAUUUAUAUAAUCUCCUCAGGGAAAGAAAGGGACCAUGUUACUUAAUCUCAAUGUAUAAAUAUAGUAUGCUCAGAUUAGCAGGCCUAGUACUUUAAAAAUUUUGAAAGUUUGACUGUAACAAAAUUCCUUAUGAUGGAUGUGGAACGUAGGGUAAUUUAGAUACAGAAGGUGCAAGAAGUUCAUAAAAUUACUUGCAUGUUCAUGGAAAAAAUAUUAUUUAAUCAUGCUGCUCUCAAAUCAUCAUGAAGAUAACCAGGGACAGAACUUUUAAAAAUCACUGGUAGUUUAUUUCAACCAUUUUCAUAAAUAUUAUCUAAGCCUUGGGUGAAACAGACCAUUUUUCCUUUUGUGUCAAGUAAAUAUUUAAAAUACUUUGAUGAAACAGACUAUUACAAACUUGAUUCUGAUUUAAAGAGUUGUCUUCCUUAUCCUCAUUCAACCACCCUGACCCUUAAGCUUGAUAAAUAUUAUAUCAUUGAUUUGUUUCCAUUAAGGCCUGAAAGUUAAUUUUUUCAGGGUGAGCAAAUCAAAUUCCUUCAUUUUUUGUCAGAUAUAAAAUGAUUUCUUGUAGGAGAAACAGUUAAAAUAAGGAUGAUGCAAUUUUGUAGAUAUGAAGAACAAAUAUCCUCCCAAAAACAGAACAAAAUUAUAUAUAUUUGAAAACUGGGAAGUUUUGCAAUUGUUUACCCAUAGUGAACAAAUCUUCAUCCAAAAUGAAUCAUAAAUUUACUUGUUUUUUCACCAUUUGACAUAGAAUAAUUUUUUUUUCUUUAAAAGUAUAAUGCAGUUCAUUUGUUAAAUUGUUGUUCUUUGGUCUUGUGAAGAAUUAUGACUUACUAUGCAUAUGUUUUUAUUUAUUAUUAAUAUAUAGAAUUAUGAACUUGAUGCAGAGGCAUCUUAAAAAUCGAAAAAAAUCUAGUCAGAUUUAAUGUGUUAUGUAAACUAUCACAUGUAAAGUGAAAAAUGAAUACUUAUCAUUCAGACAAACUGUUUUGUACAUAUAAAGUCUGUAAUAUUUAUAUAAAACAUUCAGGCCACUUGUUUGUAGUUUGUAAUAGAUUUUCAUAAUGCAUGUUUGAAUUAUUCAUAUUAUAUAAUUUUCUUUUGAGAUAUUUAAAGCCUGCAAAUUUUUCAAAAUAGAUUUUUGGAAUAUGGGAUUUGCUUCAGAAAGUACCUUUGAUGACUUGUAUAAGUACUUAACAAAUUUGUUUGAUGUGGAUUUGAUAUUUUUAAGUUUAAAUUCCCCAUAUAAAUUGAUUUAUGAAUAGUGCAUAUUAAAUUUAGAAAAUAGCUUUGUGCCAGCAUUUUUCCAUUUGGCUUUAGAAAUAAUUCAUUAGUGCUUACACCAAAUAUCUUUUCCCAAACAAGUUACUAGUUUCUAAAGUGUUGGUCCUAGUUAUGGAUUCUUAUUUAAACAGUGUUAAACCGGACAUCAGACUUUUUUAUCCUGAUCUCGGAAUAGGAAAAUGUAAAAAGUCACAUGACUUUUUCCGGUCCAAUUUAUUAUUAAGCCUUAAUUUCCUUUCCUUAUGACUUGAUCUGCACCAAUCAUGUUCACUGUUUUAUUUUAUAGUGUAUAAUAUUAUUGAAAUGAACUUUGACCCAUAUAUCUUACUGUGUGUAUGUACGAUAGGGUCCUGUAUCAAAUUUAAAUUGUUGACUAUGUAUAAAAUUAUAGUGCAUUAAUUGUUGAAACUUGUGCUCAUGUCAUAUGACUGUUUAUUAUUGUAUAUUUAUAAAUAUAAGUUACGUUAUGAAAUUUGAGAGAGAAAGAAAGAAGAAAAAGAAAGAGAACAAUGAAAGUGACAGAAAACUAAGAGUGAAAAUGAACAUUAUUGAUGUAUGUGUUUGAAGAGUCAACACUAAGUGCUGAAAUGAUUAAAAAUAUUUAAAAAAAAUCUUUGUUCUUUGUUAAUAUUUUCAAUAGAAAGGCAUUCUUUUAAAUCCUUAAGUUGGAUGAUUUAAUAUAUGGUCACUAAAUAGAGCACC
rnacentral:lncRNA from 1 species